GAGCAGUGGAAUCAAGAACUAGAGGACAUAGCUACCUGUUGAUCCUGCCAGUAGCAUAUGCUUGUGUCAAAGAUUAAGCCAUGCAUGUCUAAGUACACACGGCCGGUACAGUGAAACUGCGAAUGGCUCAUUAAAUCAGUUAUGGUUCCUUUGAUCGCUUGCUUUGUUACUUGGAUAA